GUGCUCGCUUCAGCAGCACAUAUACUAAAAUUGGAACGAUACAGAGAAGAUUAGCAUGGCCCCUGCGCAAAAGAAAGAAAGAAGAAAAGCUAGAUCAAGAUCCUUACUUU